GAUAAGAACGCAGCGAAAUGCGAUAAGUAGUGUGAAUUGCAGAAUUCAGUGAAUCAUCGAAUCUUUGAACGCAUCUUGCGCUCCUUGGUAUUCCGAGGAGCAUGCCUGUUUGAGUGUCAUCAAGUUCUCAAACUGCAUCCAUUUGAAGGGUGUGGAUUUGGAUUAUGGAGUUUGCAGGCUCUUUGAUUGAGGUCUGCUCCUCUGAAAUGUAUUAGUGGCGAUGUGGAAAAGCUACUGUGGGUGUGAUAAAUAUCUAUGCCUUAUGCAGUGUUCUGCUAUGCCGCUUGCAGGGAGAAAUUUCAUUUUUGACAAACUUGACCUCAAAUCAGGUAGGACUACCCGCUGAACUUAAGCAUAUCAAUAAGCGGAGGA
rnacentral:misc_RNA from 1 species